CACCUGCAGCAUAUGGAAGUUCCCGGGCUAGGGGUGGAAUUGGAGCCACAGCUGCAGGCCUACACCACAGCCACAGCAACACAUGAUCCAAGCCACAUCUGCGAUCUAUGACUCAGCUUGGGGCAACAAUGGAUCCUUAAGCCACUGAGUGAGGCCAAGGAUUGAACCUGAAUCCUCAGAGAGACGACAUUAGAUUCUUAACCUGCUGAGCCAUAACACUAACUCCCAUAUCUGCCAGUUUUAAAAUAUUGGCAACAGAUUAAAAAUAUUUCAAUACCGUGGGUGAUCCAAAUGAAACCACCAAUUUGCAAUUCAUGCUCCAGAAUACAUGAUGCAGGAGAAAGAGACAUUCUUUUUAUAGUGGUUGUUUUGCUAUCCAACUUAGAGUCUGGAUCUCUUUGAAUCAGCAAACGCGUUCAUUUGCCAUGGAUUGAGGACCUACUAUGCACAAGACACUGUCCAAGGUGACUUGCAUACAUUCUAAUAAUCCUUGUAAUCUAUCCAAGUUUUCAUUUUAUAGAUGAAGAAGCAAAUAUCAGAAGUCAUGUUUCUCUUGCUUCAGUGUUUUUCUUUUUCACUAAAAAAAAAAAAUCACGUUAUUAAAUUCAUCGAUGUUUCCUUUUUUUGCAGUUAAAAUUUUUGUCACUGUAACUGUAAAUCCUUUUUUUUUUUAAUUUUGCUUUAUUUGGUAGAGUUACCACAAGUUAAGAAUUCCAGGAGAAAAAAAUACUCCAUAUUAUCAAGAGACAUUCUGAAAGAAGACAAAGUAAGCCCCAUUGCCAACUAAAUGGAGAAGUAUCCCUAGGCUCUGGGAUUGUGUGACCCCCUGAAAUGCAGAGGUGCUAACAUCAGAUAAUGCAGCAGUCAGCUGACCCAAAGAGAGUUAAACUUGUGAUAUUUCAAGAGCCAACACAAUGAAAAUUAUUAUUAGCUGUUUACCAUGUGACAAGUACUGUGGUCAGCAUUUGAAAUGCAUUGAAUUCUUAUAGCAAAGCUAUGAAGAUAUUGAAGUGCAGAGAAGUGAGGUAACUCAUCCAAGGUCACAUAACAAAUAAACUGAAGAAACCAGAGUCAAGUUCAGUUUUAGCCUGGCUUCUAAAUACAUGUCAUUGACUACCAUGAGAGCCUAUCUUCCAGUUAUAGUAACUGUUGAACAAAUAUUUUGUGCCUGGCACUGCGCUCAUGAUAUACACACAUAUUUUCUUUUUUUUGUCUUUUUGUCUUUUGUUGUUGUUGUUGUUGUUGCUAUUUCUUGGGCCGCUCCCGCGGCAUAUGGAGGUUCCCAGGCUAGGGGUCCAAACGGAGCUGUAGCCACCGGCCCACGCCAGAGCCACAGCAACGCGGGAUCCGAGCCGCGUCUGCAACCUACACCACAGCUCACGGCAACGCCGGAUUGUUAACCCACUGAGCAAGGGCAGGGACCGGACCCGCAACCUCAUGGUUCCUAGUCGGAUUCGUUAACCACUGCGCCACGACGGGAACUCCCCAUUUUGUAUGGCUUUCAUCUUUACUAUUUAGUACUAUCUAUUACAUUUCAAUUUUUCUUUAAAAAUUAGCAUUAUAUUAAAAUUGUGUAUGUUAUGCAACUAAAAUUUAUAAAGAAGAAAGCCUUAUAUACCAUUAAAUAUUUUAUAUAGCAUAAUAAAAAGAACAACUUAACUGGUAAAAAUGACAAGAAUAAUACACCCUCUGAAAAUAAGUAAAAUAUAAAAUGCAUAAAUUGGUUAAAAAACAGUGUAACUAUCUACAUAUGUCCUCACAAUUUGUUACAUCUUAUUGAUUCUUCAAUAAAUGCAUUACACCGUUCUAGGUGAUGUGAUAAACAAGACAUUAUAGACCUUACAUUGUACCAUGGAGAGAAAUGGUUAUUAAUAAUACAAUUAUAGAACUAUACUAUUUAAUUGUACAGUUGCAUUAUUUAAUUAUAAUUAUCAUAAAUUCUUUGAUGGAGAGGAAAUCAGAAUCAGAUCUAAGAAGACUUCAGUAUUCCAAGAAUGAUGUCAAAUGACCCCCUUCAUGGUGGAUUAUGCACUUAUUUACUAUGAGAUAUAUUUCUUCUUCAGAGAUUCUUUGUGUAUAAAUUGUAGAUUUUUGGUUUGCAGUUAUUCUGAAGUUUUGAUAUGAGUCUAUAUGUAUAUGAGAUUGUUUUAAGUUGUUGGUCUCUUCAUUGCAAGUGCAUCUCCAGUGUCCUGCAUUUGUACCCACCUCUUCUCAUGAUUUCUGAUUUUGGUGGCAUAAUUGUGCAUGGAUGAUUUCAUAUCUUUAGUGUAUAUAUACCUUUACUGGUGAGCCUUGUCAUUUGUGGAGUUUUUUUUUUCCUGUUGCUGUCUUUUCUUUUCUGCCUACCGAAGUUCCUUUAGUAUUUGUUCUAAGGCUGGUUUAGUGUUGCUGAAUUCUCUCAACUUUUGCUUAUCUGUGAAGGUUUUGAUUUCUCCUUCAAAUCUGAAUGAGACCCUUGCUGGGUAAGGUAAUCUUGGUUGGAGGUUUUUCCCUUUCAUCACAUUAAGUAUGUCAUGCCACUCCCUCCUGGCCUGCAGAGUUUCUGCUGAAAAAUUUGCCAAUAACCUUAUUGGGUUCCCUUGUAUGUUAUUUGUUUCUUUUCCGUAGCUGCUUUCAAGAUUUUCUCUUUGUCUUUAAUUUUGGUUAUUUUGAUUAAUAUGUGCCUUGGAGUGUUCCUCCUUGGGUUUAUUUUGUAUGGUACUCAUUGUGCUUCCUGAAGUUGAGUGAGUGGUUCCUUUCCCAUGUUAGGGAAGUUUUCAGCUAUUAUCUCUUGGAAUAUUUUUUCUGUCCCCUUCUCUCUCUCUUCUCCUUCUGGCACCCCUAUAAUACGGAUGUUGGUGCGUUUAACGUUGCCCCAGAGUUCUCUGAGACUCUCUUCAUUUGUUUUCAGUCUUUUCAAUAUUCUUUUCAUUAGUCCAUAAUUUCCACUAAUCUGUCCUCCACCUCGCUUAUUCAUUCUUCUGCCUCCUGUAUUCUGCUGUUAGCUGCUUCUAGUGAAUUUUUUAUUUCAGUUAUUGUAUUUUGCAUCUCUUCUUGUUUAAGUUUUAUAUCUUGUAUCUCUUUGGUCAGUGUUUCCUGUAAGUUAUCCAUCUUUGCCUCCAGUUUAUUUCCAAUGUCUUGCAUCAUCUUCAGCAUCGACAGUCUAAAGUCUUUUUCCUGGAGGCUGAGAAUCUCCUCAUUGCUUAGCUGAUUUUCUGGGGUUUUUCCUUUCUCCCUCAUCUGAGUUAUAGUUCUCUGUGUUUUCAUUUUUAUAGGUUUUUGGUGUGGUGACCUUUUUACUGAUAAUAGGAUUGUAGCCUCUCUUACUUCUGGUGCCUGCCCCCUUUGUGGCAGAAGUUGGUACAGGGGCUUGCUGUAGGCUUCCUGAUGGGAGGGACUGAUGCCUGCCCACUGGUAGGUGGAGCUGAUUCCUAUCCCUCUGGUGGGUGGGGCUUAGUCUCUGGAUGGGAUUAGAGGCAGCUGUGUGCCUGAGGGGUCUUUAGGUAGCCUGUUUACUGAGGGGUGGGGCUGUGAUCCCACCUGGGUUGGUGUUUGCCCUGGGGUUUCUCAGCACUGACUGAUGGGUGGGGCCAGAUUUUCCCAAAAUGGCCACCUCCAGAGAAAGGCAGCUGCUGAAUAUUCCUGAGAGCUUUGCCUUCAAUGUCCCUCCCUCACUACAAGCCACAUUCACUCCUGUUUUCCCAGGAUGUCCUCCAAGAACUGCAGUCAGGUUUGACCCAGAUUCCUACGGAGACCUCACUCUGCCCUGGGAUCCAGUGCACGUGAAAGUCUGUGUGCACCUUUUAAGAAUGGGGUUUCCAUUUCCCCAGUCCCGUGGAGUCCUGUGCACAAGCCCCACUGGCCUUCAAUGCCAGAUGCUCCAGGGGCUCUUUCUCCCAGUGCCAGAUCCCUGCACGUGAGGGUUUGAUGUGGGUCUCAGAACUCUCACUCCUGUAGGUGAGUCUCUGUGAACCAGUUAGUUUUCAGUCUGUGGAGCUUCCCACCUGGGAGGUAUGGGGUUGUUUAUAUCACGAAAUCACCCCUCCUACCUCUUGAUGUGACCUCCUCUUUUUCUUCUGGAGUAGGGUAUCUUUGUUUAUACUGUUUGUUAGAAUCUAAAUUAUUUCAACCACUUUGAAAAUAAUUGGCAUUAUCUAGUAAAGUUGAACAUACACAUACAAUGU
rnacentral:lncRNA from 1 species